CUCGGGGUGAGGGAGAGGGCAGAGAUGGUACUCUUCAUGAGAAAAGAAUUGAGAUACUGGAAAUGCUGGUGAGAUGGAAAUGAAUGUAAGGCAGCAAUCCAUGUGAGACAUCAGAGAGAGGUACUCCAGGUGAGAUAGACCUGAGACAGGUAUUCCUGGUGUGAGACACAUGCGACAGGUAUUCCAGGUGAGCUACACCCGAGACAGGUAUUCACAGGUGAGCUACACCCGAGACAGGUAUUCCAGGUGAGCUACACCUGAGACAGGUAUUCACAGGUGAGCUACACCCGAGACAGUUAUUCACAGGUGAGCUACACUCGAGUCAGUUAUUCCAGGUGAGCUACACCCGAGACAGGUAUUCCCAGUUGAGCUACACCCGAAACAGGUAUUCCCAGGUUAGCUAUACCCGGGACAGGUAUUCCAGGUGAGCUACACCUGAGACAGGUAUUCCAGGUGAGAUGCACAUAAAAUACAUGCCCUCUAGGUGAGAUGCAUAUGGGAGACAGGUACUGCAGGUAAGACACAGGCAGCUGAGAGUUGGGAACAUUCGUUAUGUUUAUGUCACACAUGAUGUAAGAAUUUUAUUUUCCCAGAAAAUUGCCACCCUGCAACUUUGCUAGCAAAAUUGAACUUACAGGUGCCACUUGCAUUGGCCUAAUAGCAUCAUUGAGUUUACAGUAGGGCUGUCACUUUUUCCCCAAAAUGACAUUCGAAUGAAUUCCAAUUAAGAUGGAAUUCGUUCUAAUAAAUUCAAAUCUUAUGUAAUCUGAUACUCUAGCGGAACGGAUGCGAAUAAUACCCUAAAUGAACAUGCCUUGUCUCCCUCUCCUUUUGCAAUCUCAUCCCAUUUCACAAUCGCAAACAAACAUUCAUUAACAAUUUAUUUAUUCAGUAGGUGAGAGUAUAAGCUAUCUAACAAUGUAUAACAUGUCUAAUUUUGCUUUUGGAAUAGCGUUUUAUAUCUCAGCAUAACCAAAAGUUUUCUCAUCAUCGCAUUCACUUACGCAUUCACUCUAUGGUAGCAGUGAAAGGCACUGCACGUGACGAAACGUUGUAAACGAUUUUUCGUAAAUUCUUGGAAAAUACUAUUAUUAUUGAGGACUUCUGAGCAUAGCUAAGCCAUAUGUUUGCUGAUGGACUUACUGACAUCAUUUGACAUCUGGAUGAGAAACACCUACAGGUUGUUGGACAGAAAAACAAGUCUGUCAACUUGAUCUGAAUGUAGUGCGGCUCGCUUUUUAUUUACAAUAUUGCCGGCAGACAACACUUUUUCGGAUCGCACAGUUCCAGGCACGUGCAUGUAUUUGUGAGAGAGCGAGCAGUGAGAGCCGAGCGUAUCGGACGCAAAAUACUUCUUCUGAGAACAUCGCUUCUGAGGUGCGCUGAUGUUGUAAUUGUUCUCAUGGACUCGCUCGGCUAGCUCUGAGUAGGCUCGCUAGAUUCCGCCAUCUUGAAUGAAUGAAACAUCCGCCGUUGGUUGUGCAUGGCAGCGGAAUGCCACUUUUCAGAAGACAAGGCUCAUUACAUCAAUCCACGACAUGAGAAAAAAUAGAACCAGGCAGUUACAUUAAUUGCAUUCCCCAAUUUAGAAUUUGAAUGCAUUAUUACAGUUCAAACUUUUCAUAUUUCACCAGAUUCGAACAAGAAUUAGAAUUUUGAAUAAAAAGUGACAGCGCUAGGUUACAGGCUUCCUGAUUUGCAGGAUUCAGUGUUAUCACAGGUAAAAUCAUAGCUGUUAAUUACUAUGAC